UACGUAGGGGGCGAGCGUUAUCCGGAAUUAUUGGGCGUAAAGAGUACGUAGGCGGUUACCUAAGCAUGGGGUUUAAGGCAGUGGCUUAACCACUGUUCGCCCCAUGAACUGGGCUACUUGAGUGCAGGAGGGGAAAGCGGAAUUCCUAGUGUAGCGGUGAAAUGCGUAGAUAUUAGGAGGAACACCAGUGGCGAAGGCGGCUUUCUGGACUGUAACUGACGCUGAGGUACGAAAGUGUGGGGAGC
rnacentral:rRNA from 1 species